UUCGUCUGAUCACACGAUCCCCCUCUAUGUUCUCCACUUCUCUAUCAUAGGCGGUUUUUACCCCCAUCGGUGCUCUUUUGGACUUGUUUCGGUUUGGGUCUUCUCCAUCUUCAUGGAAUGGCUUAAGUAUACUCACACGAAACACUAGAUGGAGUUUGAGUUUUUCAGGCAACUCAAGCUUGUAAGCCACCUUGCCUACCUUCUUCAAAACUCGGAACGGCCCCUCAUAACGUCGAACAAGCCCUUUAUGCAACCCAUUGUGUCACAAAAUCUGGUGCAGUUUAGCAAGGACAGAGUUACCAACCUAAUAUUGUACAUCCCUUCGAUUCUGAUCCGCCCACUUCUUAUUGCGCUUACUCGCCUUGUGAAGACAAGCUCUAGCCAAAUCGUUUUGCUCUUGCCAAUCUCUCACAAAUCGAUAGGCUGCUGGAUUCGUUCCCCCAUAACGAGUCGCAACAGCAUUGGGUGUAAGUGGCUGUUGUCUUAUCACUAUCUCGAACGGAAUUUGGUUUGUCGCCCCACUUCUUUGCAAAUUGUAAGAAAACUGAGCCACAUCCAGCAACUUUGGCCAGUCCCUUUGUGUGGCACUCAUAUAGUGCCGUAGAUAUAUCUCCAACAACGCGUUCACUCAUUCAGUUUGCCCAUUGGUUUGUGGAUGCAUGCUAGUUGAAAAGUUCAAGUUCGAGCCCAUUAACUUGAACAACUCCGUCAAAAAUCAUCCCGUGAAUCGCCCAUCUCGAUCGCUGGUGAUGGAUUGUGGCACUCCCCAAUACUUCACCACAUGUCUAAGAAACAAGCGGGCAGCCUCUUCAGCAGGACACUCCUUGGUUGCAGGGAUAAAAGUUGCAUACUUCGAAAACCUGUCCACCACAACAAAAAUGCUUGCAAAUCCAUCAGAUUUAGGCAAACCUACAAUAAAGUCCAUGGAUAAGCUCUCCCAUGGGCGCUCCGGAAUAGGUAAAGGCUGUAGCAACCCAGCAGGAGCCUUCAACUCGAUUUUAUCUUGUUGGCACACCAAACAAGUUUUCACAUAAGUCUCCACAUCGUCACUCAUGUGAGGCCAAUAAAAUCGAUCCUCCAAGAGAGCCAAAGUGCGGUGCAUGCCUAGAUGUCCAGCCCAUCUUGAAUCAUGACAUUCCUUCAUGACUUCCUUUCGUAAGUUCCCAUGUUGGGGCACAUAUAGACGUUGCCCUUGAGUGUAUAGUAAUUCUCCCUCGAGCCAAAAUCGCCUCGUUUUUCCCUCUUUGGCAAGCUCAAUCAAAUUUUUGGCCGUGGAAUCGUGGGAUAACCCUUCUUGAAUGCGCUCUAAUAAGGGACUAUUGGGUUGGCUUAUCGUUGCAAAUUCCAUCUUUCGGCUAAGCGCAUCAGCUACAAUGUUGGCACUCCCCCGGCUUGUACUCCAUGCUAAAAUCAAACUCUGCUAGGAAAACCUGCCAACAAGCCUGUUUGGGGGACAACUUUUUCUGGGUUAGGAAAUAACUAUUUGCAACAUUAUCAGUGAAUACCACGAACCUGGAACCCAGCAAAUAGUGCCUCCAUGUGCGCAAACAAUGUACCACAGCAGUCAUCUCUUUUUCUUGGACCGUGUAUCUCCGUUCUGUCUCAUUCAGCUUUCGACUCUCGAAAGCAAUUGGAUACCCUUCUUGCAUCAAUACUCCCCCAAUUGCAUAGUUUGAAGCAUCCGUGCGUACCUCAUACGCCUUUGUAAAAUCCGGUAAAGCAAGUACAGGUUCACUCACUAUUGCUUGCUUUACUUGGUCAAAAGCUUUCCCACACCGAGAGUCCCAGUCCCAUACUUUGCCCUUUUUCAACAAGUCCGUCAAGGGUGUAGUGAUCUUGGAGUAGCCUUCAAUGAAACGUCGAUAGUAGUUUGCUAAACCAAGAAAGGACCGCAAUUCCGUUACCUUGGUUGGUGGCUCCCAAUCGGUAAUUGCUCGGACUUUGCUUACAUCCAUUCAGAUCAUGCCACCUCCUACAAUAUGACCAAGAAAAGGCACCUCUCGUUGGGCAAAUGAGCAUUUUUCCUCUUUCACAUACAGCUCAUUUUCCCGUAGGACUUGGAACACCUCCCUCAGAUGUCCAACAUGCUCCUCAAGCGUCUUACUAUACUCCACAAUGUCGUCAAGAUAAACAACCACAAAGCGAUCUAAGAAAGGUUGUAAUACCUUAUUCAUUAGGGUGCAAAAUGUUGCCGGAGCAUUUGUCAACCCGAACGGCAUCACCAAGAAUUCAAAAGACCCAUACCGAGUCACACAGGCUGUUUUAGGCUCAUCCCCUUCGGCUACUCUCACUUGGUAGUACCCCGAUCGCAAAUCCAACUUAGUAAACCAUCUCGCACUACCAAGUUGAUCGAACAAAUCUGCAAUGAGAGGAAUGGGAUACCUGUUCUUCACAGUGAUCUUGUUUAAGGCCCUAUAGUCGAUGCACAAUCUUAAGGACCCAUCAUGCUUCCUUUGGAAUAACACUGGCGCUCCAAAUGGGGCUUUGGAAGGUUAAAUGAACCCGGCAUCUAGAAGUUCCCUUAACUGCUUCCUCAAUUCCUCCAACUCAGGUGGAGACAUUCGAUAUGGUGCCCUUACUGGUGGCUCAGUAUUGGGCAAAAACUCAACCUUGUGAUCCACCUUCCUCUUUGGUGGCAAUGUCUUGGGCAACUUUGUGGGCAUUACAUCUUGAAAAGACUGCAACAGCUGCUUCACUUCCCUUGGGAUUUCCCCCUCGAAUUUCUCCUCCACAUUGUUCCUUAAGGUGGCUAAAUAGGAGACUUCGUUUCUACGUACUCCUUUGGCAAAUUGGAUUGCCGAUAAUGUUUUGCCUUUCAUGUUUCCCUUUCUUUUCAUUCGCACCAUAUAACGAUGGUUCGAAUCAGAGAUCAUCAUGUAGUUCUCGGAAGGAUGAAUAUACGCAUUAAGUCGGUCAAACAAACUCAAUCCUACCACAAAAUCAUAAUCAUCAAGUGGGAUUACCUUAAUGGUUGCCUUGCCUGUCCACUCGCCAAGUUUGAGUUCCACACCUUUAGCCACACCCAUUAUGGGAAUACUUUCUGAGUUCACCAUUUUUAUUCAACCCGAAUCUUCCUCCACUUUGAGACCGAGUUCUUUCGCCAUCUCUUUAGACAUGAACAAAUCAGAUGCACCAGUAUCAAUAAGGGCAUUCAAUUUCCUGUCUGCUACGAUGAUGUCCACAAACAUCAGCCCAUUACUCGUCUUGUCUUCAACACCGCCCAAUAUCGUACCAAGAUUUUUGGUGUCAGGAUUGGCCUCUUCGCGUGCUUCCAUAGCAUUGAAAGCGCCUUCUUUGGACAAACACUCAACCUAUGUGGACCUUGGCAAAGAUAGCAUCUCAUUGGCUCUUUCUUAUCCCCUGGUCUACCAUUAUAAGUCCUUGGGGCCUCGCCACUCCUUUCUGUUUGCUCUUUGUCUCCCCCACCAUUGCCUUUGGGUCUUGGCUUGGGCUUGGAAGCAUCAUUAUUAUCAAACUUUCUCCCACCAACUUCGUAGAAGUUCUCUGCCUCAGCCAUAGCUACGGUCAAAUCGACGAUGCCUAGGUGGCGCAACUGUUGCUUAGCCCACAUUCUUAGCCCAUCCUCAAACAUAUAAAAUGCUUCCUUCUCAUUCAAGUCUGAGAUCUGAAGCAUCAGCUCACUAAACUCCCGCACAUAAUCUCGAACAGUGCCUUGUUGCGUAAGCCGACGCAACUUAGCACGAGCCUCCUUUUCAGAAUGCUGCGGAUAAAACUACUUCUUUAAAUCUCCUUGGAACUCCUCCCAAGUCCCAAUGGCCGUUCCUCCACGUCUCUCAUCCGUGGACCUACGUCGCCACCAUAAGAAAGCAACAUCAGUAAAGUAAAUCGAAGCAGUGUUUACCUUAGUGGCAUCAUCCUCAAUGCCCAUUGCUCGAAAAUAUUACUCCAAUUCCCACAGGAAUUUGUCCACUUCUCUCGCAGACCUAGCCCCCUUGAACUUAUCGGGUUUUGGAACAUCUACAUGACGUUGCUUCGGUCCUGAAGUCAACAUCCCAUUUCCCAGAGCGACCUUACAAAUUGUGAGCUCCCCCUUAAGCUUAGCAAUCUCCUCUUUCAUGGCAGUCACCAAGGCCUCAAGAGCUUCGUCCCUUACCGUUAGCUUGUCCGAAGUGGAUCUAAGAGUGUCCAGCACGAAUACCUUGUUGUCUUCCCUCAGUUCCUCCAUACGGGUUAGGACCACUUCGAGUGUCUCCCUCAUGUCACCAACAGACUCCUCGAGACCACUCAAUUUUCCAAGCUCGAUAAAAUGUCCCUCGAUCGACUAGCCUUCCUAGCCCUCCCACGGGUCUCCAUUGGCUCAUUCUCACCAACUUCUCUCGACAUCCUUCAAUAGUGCUUUCGAAAGACUGGCUCGGAUACCAACUGUCACGGACUUAGGAGUUUUGCCUCACAAUCCGUGCGGCCUUAGGCAGUUUCUUGCUUCAAAAACACCUAAGUCAGCCUAACUCCCAUGAUUUGAGGAUUCAAUAGAAUUCCCCUUUGAAAACCAACACAAACGAAAGCAACUCAAUGAUCAAACAAAGGCGAACGAAGAACGAAAUAAGAACAAGCCACGAAAUAUCAAGAACACAAGAGAGAAUAAUGUUUGAGUGAAUACUCUCAAGAACUCUUAUAUUUCCUCAAAACUCAAGUGAUUUACAAUGAGGGGAGAGACCUCUUAUUUAUAGUAGAGCCUCCCCAAAUCCAACGGUACAGAUCAAGUACAUGAAUGGCUACGAUCGAAUGGUAUCUACAAAUCAAAUCUCUAAGAUUUACAAAAUCAUAUCUCCUAAGAUUACAUAUCAAAUCUACGAUUGUAUAUCUUCGAAGAUUAUGUUUCCAUAUGUGACGAGCUUGUAGAUGGGCCUUCAAUCUCUUCAAGCAAUGGGUCAGUCCGAUCGGGCCAAAUGACCUCCUUCCCACUUGAUGGAUCACACGAAUGUGUCAUGGUUGCGGGUUCCCAUGCGCAACCCAUGACACUUACACAUGCAUGGCUUAAUCUUUGAGACAACCAUAUGACUACUGGCAGGAUCAACCAGGUAGCAUUCCUCCGCGACGUCGGCACUGCAUGGCCCUCAACAUGCCUCGUGAGCUACGAAGAGGUCAUAACAGAGCAGGAGCAUCGUCCGUGUCAAGAGACAAAAUGCAUAGGCAUCGAGAGAUGAGGGCCUGAACCCUACUCUCAAAAAUAUUUUCCGCAUCCGAAAGCACGAUCGAGCACCAGUGCACCGACGAGGCCACGCCGAUUUAAGGGGAUACACUCGGGACACAAGGCACGAUUGAGGUCCACCACGCACCCUGAAGGGCACGGGAUGGAGAAGGGACGGCAACACAUCCAUAAUUCCAUUUGGCUUAGGUACGCAGCACAAGAUCCCGAUCGCACCCCUUGAGUUCGAUUACAACAAGGGGAGUUAAUGAAGAGGAGUGCGGCUCGACAGUUCGAUGCGAAUAGCAUGGAGCCUGCCAAUACACACAACCAAAACACCACUCAUAUGCCUAUUGUGUACUAGUAGUAGCGCCCACGCACACCGCCCAACAGCCCACCCAACCGAAUGGUAGGGGAGCGGAAGGAACAACGAACGAGGGCGCACCACAACCACUUGGCACGAGAACUACGAGGGGAAAAGUCCCACCGAGACUUGAUCUAGCCAAGACCGAGCCUACAAACUCAACUUACACCCCCUAGUGGGCCGUUGCCGUCAAAGGGACUUGGUACUAGGGUCGCGGGCAGUUUCGAAUGCGGGCAAGGGCUUGGCAAGGCCAAGGCACCGUGUGGUCGCCGACUUGGGAUGCACAAGGCGUCCCUAAACGUGACGGGGGCGAAAGGGCAAGCCAAGCUGGAGCCCAUAGCAAUGCAUAAGCCACCCCAAGAGAUCUUUGCCCGAGUAGGGAACUUGGUCCUAGAGUCGUUGGCUACAUUUCUAUGGGCAUGGGCUUCCUCGGCCGGAAAAUUGUCACCCUGGCCACCACCGCCGGCGACCGACUCACCCCCGUGGUGAGUCGUUGCGGGAUGACCCGACCCCCAUGGGGGGGCUAGACGCACCCCACCUCGGCUCGGAGGGGGGGCACGCCGGGGGGCAGCGGAUCUCUACCCCUUAAAGAGCUAAAAAAACUUCGUCAAUAUGCUACCAGGAAACAUUCGACUGUCUGAAAGAGGGACACUCUUCUUUAGCCCGUACAUCCCAGGCACCAAGGUGCCGAUGGGUGCCCGAGGCUCUCGCACAUCCAAGCACCAAGUUGCCGAUGGUGUCCGAGGCUCCCGCACAUCCUAGCCACUGAGGUGCCGAUGCUGCUCGAGGCUCCCACACAUCCGAGCCACCAAGGUGCCGAUGGUGCCCGAGGCUCCUGCACGACCAAUGGCCGAGGUGCCGAUGGUGGCCGAGGCCCCCGCACGACCAAGGGCCUAUUUUGCCGAUGGUGCCCGAGGCUCCCGCACGAGCAAAGGCUUAGUUUGCCGAUGGUGCCCGAGCCUCUCGCACGACCAAGGGCCUAGGUUGCCGAUGGUGCACGAGGUUCUCUCACAUCUAAGCACCAACGUGCCGAUGGUGCUCGAGGCUCCCGCACGACUAAGGGCCUAGGUUGCCAACAGUGUCUGAGGCUCCCACACAUCAUAGCACCGAGGUGCCGAUACUGCCCGAGGCUCCCGCACCUCCGAGCCACCAAGGUGCCGAUGGUGCCCGAGGCUCCCGCACGACCAAGGCCCAAGGUGCCGAUGGUGGCCAAGGCCCCCGCACGAACAAGAGACUAUUUUGCCGAUGGUGCCCGAGGCUCCCAUACGACCAAGGGCUUAGUUUGCCGAUGGUGCCCGAGCCUCUCGCACGACCAAGGGCCUAGGUUACCGAUGGUGCCCGAGGUUCUCGCACAUCCAAGCACCAACGUGCCGAUGGUGCUCAAGGCUCUCGUACGACCAAGGGCCUAGGUUGCCGACAGUGUCUGUGGUUCCCGCACACCAUAGCACCGAGGUGCCGAUACUGCCCGAGGCUCCCGCACAUCCGAGCCACCAAGGUGCCGAUGGUGCCCGAGGCUCCCGCACGACCAAGGGCCAAGGUGCCGAUGAUGGCCGAGGCCCCCGCACGACCAAGGGCCUAUUUUACCGAUGGUGCCCGAGGCUCCCGCACGACGAAGGGCUUAGUUUACCGAUGGUGCCCGAGCCUCUCGCACGACCAAGUGCCUAGGUUACCGAUGGUGCCCGAGGUUCCCGCGCAUCCAAGCACCAAGGUGCCGAUGGUGCUCGAGGCUCUCGUACGACCAAGGGCCUAGGUUGCCGACAGUGUCCGAGGCUCCCGCACAUCCAAGCGCCCAGGUGCCAAUGGUGCCCGAGGCUCUCACCCGACCAAGGGCUUAGUUUGCCGAUAGUGUCCAGGGCUCCUGCACAUCCUAGCACCAAGGUGCCGAUGGUGCCCGAAGCUCUCGCAUGACCAAGGGCCUAUGCUACCGGAAUGGUUCGUCGGAGCACCGACGGGAUGGUUCGCCGGAGCACCGCCGGGACGGAUCACCGGA
rnacentral:lncRNA from 1 species